rnacentral:lncRNA from 1 species
UUUAAAGCAGUCUACAAGAAUACCAUUUUACAAUGGACAAAUAGAGAUAUUAAGAGGUAACUAAAAAAGGGGGUGCAUCCCACGUACAAGGGGACUAUAUACAAAGGGCACUAGAAAAGAACAAGUAAAGAACAAGUUAUAUCAAAAUCCUACUAUCCCCAAACUAGACAAUAAAUGAAAUCCAACACGAAACCUUUCACCAUCCCCACUUCAAAAGAGAUUUGAUGGAGACCUCCUUUGAUCUUUGAUUAGAAGACUCCUCCCUAUUGAAAACCCAUCCACCCAUUGCACUCUCUCCAAAUGCACAAAAACAAGCAAAUGAGAGUCAUUUACAACACAUUUUUCCUUUAACUAUUUAUUCCCCACACACAGAAAAGAAGAUCCUUAACCAUUUCCAGAACACCACCCUCAAGCCUACAUAUUGCAGAUAAGGUAUCCCAUAGUAAUCAAACUUUGCCACAAUGAACUAAAAUAUGGAUUUCUGUUUCUUCACUACAUUUACAAAGAUUACAUCUGUUCAUCAAAAUUCAUCCCCCCUCUCAAAAGUUGAUCAUGGUUGAUAUCUUCUUCCAAAUAACUUCCCAAGGAAGAGACAAGCCUUCGAGCAGGUUCCCCAGUUCCUGAAAGCUUGAAGCAAGGAACAAUCCCCUAAGCCACAAGUUGUAAAAUGUCUUCACCUAAAAAUGCCCUUCUCAUCUCCCCCAUCCCCCUCUCUAAUGCUCCCAUUCACCAAACAAUUUUACAAAAUGAAUGCACCACUUUAUAAACCACACACCUCUUCAAGCUGUGAAAAAGCCUCCUAAAACUAGGGCUCCAAAGAACCCGAUCCCCCUCAACCACCCACAAAUCAGCCAAUUUUGCAUGUUUGGAAAUAGCAAAACUAAAGAGAAGGAAAAGCUUGUUUCAAAAACUCUCCCCAACUCAUAUGCCCAAACCACAGACUUUGUCCUUAUCCCAUACCCAACCAACAUAGAGGUUGUAAGGGUACACUAUUGCUCACCAAAAUAUGAUGUAGGAUAACCCUAAGAUGGUUAUCUAGAAUCAAAUAGGUGGGCUAUCUUUUAAAUUUAAGGAGGUGAACAAGAAUAAAUUAUAGCAGUGGAAAGAGACAAAUAAAAUAUUGGAAAAGAAAGAUAAUGACGAGAGAUAGGAAACUUUAGAGUCUCAUUAAGGCCUUCUAGAAAUCUCACUUUAAGGCAAUCAAUGGAGUCUCCCCAUUGAAAAUUGAAAGAUAUGUAAAAAUAAAAAAUAAAUAAAUAAAUAAGCUUUAAAAAAUUAAUAUUAUUGAUCAUUAAUCCUUAAUCUCGUUUUAUAGCAAUUAGCCUUAUUCAUAGGUUUUAGGUUUUGAAUAAAACUAUGAAAAAGUAAACCUAACCUAUAUAGUAACUAAUUGGGAUUCCUAUCCCUUUCCUAAAACUAUUAAAUCUUCUAAAAAAAUUAAAAGAAAUCAAAAUUAUUUUUUAUAGAAUGAGAAACUUACUUCAUAUAAAGUUUCAAACUUCUAAAUUUUCAUGACUCAAAAUGAAAAUUUUAGAACAAAAAAUUAUUUAGAAAAUAGAAAGUUUAGAACUUUUUUUUAAUGAGAAUUCUAGAACUUUCCAAAUUCCAACACUUUACUUUAUUUUCCUUUUCUUUUUUUAAAAAAACACAUUGAUGACCUCAUCCCCAUCAAAAUAGCUUUCCACAACCCCACUCCAAAAGGUGCUUCCACCUCCUACAAGCACCACCCACCACCCAUCUAGCAAAACAUUCUUUGGGUUUAGUUAUAACCUUCCUCCACGCAUUAUCUCACUCAUUUACAAAUCUCCAUAAUUACUACUAAGUAAAGUAGUGUUUAGAAUAGAAAGCCUUUAGAUACCUAGCCCACCCUACCUUUCUUUUCUUCUUUUUUUUCUUCUUUUUUCUUUGAGUCCACAAUCAACCUAUUCACAAGAUGAAGCAUUCUCCAUCUAGAUGAUUUCCCCACAAGAAGCCUAUAACUCUUUUCCAAUUUGACUCUUACUUUCCUAGGCAUGACAAAUAAGGACGUGAAAGAAAUUGUUAAACUGAGAGUAUGGUUUUGAUGACAGUCAGAUUUUUUUUUUUUUCCUUUUUUUUUUAUAAGCCAGUGAGAGUUAAUCUUCCCUGUAGACAAAAAUUGUUUCUUCCAUAUUUUUUUAAUCAACUAAUGAGAGUCAUUCUUCCCCCAUAAAAUCAAAUUUUUCUUCCAAGAGGUCAAUCUCCUUAAAUGCUCCUCUACUGAAUCCAAUACAACAUAACACUUAUAAACAGAUCUAAGGGAAGACCUAGAUAGGUGGAAGGAAAACAACAAACCCUACAAUUGAACAAAGAAACCAAAACACCCAUCCAUUGCACCUCAACCACCAAAAUCAGCUUCUUUGCUACAAAUUGAUUUUCAAACCCAGAACAAGCUCAAAAUAAAUCAAGGCCCACCUCAAAUACUUCAGCUAUUCCUUAGUGGCUUCACAAAACAACAAUAUAUCAUUCAUGAAAAAAUGAUGGGAAACUUCUACUCCUCCCACAUUCCCUACCUCGAAACCCUCUAAUAAAGCCCCACUUGCACUGCCCUCAAAAUGCAAGGGCUGAAAGCUUCCAUUGCUAAUACAAAACGGUAUAAAGUGGAUCACCCUGACUCAAACCUGUAAAGCUUUUUAAAACCAAAAGUCCCCCAGUACUUGAUCCAUCCCAUCCAUCUUUACCCGAAUCACAUUUUUUCCAUAAUCAAGAGGAGAAACUUCAACUUUACAUGAUCACAGCAGGUCUCUAUAUCCAAUUGGCACACUAAUCCUACUUGGAACCUUUUUGUUUCCAAAUCUAUAGCUUUGUUAGCAAGAAAAGUUACAUUCAAUAUUUGUCUACCCUCCACAAAAACAUUAUGAGACUUUGACAUCACCUUUUCAAUGACCUCCUUCAAUUUAUUCAUCAAAACU